rnacentral:rRNA from 1 species
GACGAACGCUGGCGGCGUGCCUAAUACAUGCAAGUAGAACGCACAGUUUAUACCGUAGCUUGCUACACCAUAGACUGUGAGUUGCGAACGGGUGAGUAACGCGUAGGUAACCUGCCUGGUAGCGGGGGAUAACUAUUGGAAACGAUAGCUAAUACCGCAUAAUAUUAAUUAUUGCAUGAUAAUUAAUUGAAAGGUGCAAUUGCACCACUACCAGAUGGACCUGCGUUGUAUUAGCUAGUAGGUGAGGUAACGGCUCACCUAGGCGACGAUACAUAGCCGACCUGAGAGGGUGAUCGGCCACACUGGGACUGAGACACGGCCCAGACUCCUACGGGAGGCAGCAGUAGGGAAUCUUCGGCAUGGACGAAAGUCUGGCCGAGCAACGCCGCGUGAGUGAAGAAGGUUUUCGGAUCGUAAAGCUCUGUUGUAAGAGAAGAACGGGUGUGAGAGUGGAAAGUUCACACUGUGACGGUAUCUUACCAGAAAGGGACGGCUAACUACGUG